rnacentral:rRNA from 1 species
UACGUAGGUGGCAAGCGUUGUCCGGAAUUAUUGGGCGUAAAGCGCGCGCAGGCGGUCCUUUAAGUCUGAUGUGAAAGCCCACGGCUCAACCGUGGAGGGUCAUUGGAAACUGGGGGACUUGAGUACAGAAGAGAAGAGUGGAAUUCCACGUGUAGCGGUGAAAUGCGUAGAGAUGUGGAGGAACACCAGUGGCGAAAGCGACUUUCUGGUCCUUAACUGACGCUGAGGCGCGAAAGCAUGGGGAGCGAACGAG